CUGCACAAUCAGCAACAUUCAGCACUGAGGUCAGCCAUUGAACGUUGGCAGAGAAGCAAGAAGGAGGCAAUACUGCAGCUCCUCAUGUCUAACAGGAGAGAUAUGAGAAGCCAACUUGGGAGGAGUGAAUCCAUGGGCAGAUUGGACAACUUCAGAGGACACUGUCCAGCUGUACCUGCUGAGACACACAAGGCAUCGUCUCGGAUUUCACCAGCGUCCAUGAAGCGUGCCGGAUGGAGGCGUGUGGACUCAGACACAGCUGUUCUUGCGCACACUUACCUACAGAAACGAAAACCCGGGAUUGAAGUGAACCCGGGAGCAAUGAAGACAUGUUUUAAAACAAGUGUUCAAAAAGCGGGGUGGGGCGGGGCGGUGAAUUUUUUAAUGUGAAUGUGUGUGUAUAUAUAGUAGUGUCGCAGGUAAAUAACGGUACAAGGGUGCUGUAUUCAGGGCUACAUGUAUUUCUUAUUGCACUUUUAUUAAUAGUAAAAAUAGGUCAAACACAAACAAAUAAACAAUAUAACAGGGCAGCAGUGUGUAGUGGUUAGGGCUCUGGACUCUUGACCGGAGGGUCGUGGGUUCAAUCCCAGGUGGGGGACACUGCUGCUGUACCCUUGAGCAAGGUACUUUACCUAGAUUGCUCCAGUAAAAACCCAACUGUAUAAAUGGGGAAUUGUAUGUAAAAAUAAUGUGUAAAAAAUAAUGUAAAUUGUAUGUAAAAAUAAUGUGAUAACUUGUAACAAUUGUAAGUCGCCCUGGAUAAGGGCA